GAAAGCCUCAGAAAGAGGUUCAUUGUGUGAAUUUGUGUGGAGUUACUGGAGUCCCCUUUUUAAUCAUCAAUGGAGCAUAUUCUGCUGGACUACAACUGCGCGGCGUCGGAGGACGACGCGUCAGACAUCGGUCACUUUAUCGGACAGAGGAGAAGCUGGGCGAGCAGCUCGGCUCCGAGUCUGUGCCAGUGGUCAGCAGCCGCAACCUCCUUCCUCCCCCAGAGAGCAACAGACAGACACCGAGACGGAUGGACAGCCCGAAAUUACAGCUCAACCGGCAUUCUGAGGAUAAACAUCUCUUGUAAAAAUACACCGAGCGGCCAGGAGUAGCUAAAGGAGCAGGUUCAGCGCGGCCCGGGGCCAGGGAGGGCACGCCGGCCUGCUGUAUUUACAGCCCGCCUAUCGAGGGACAGUCCUCGUACUCUGCCUUCCAAGCAUGGAUCCCAAUUUGUGGCUUCGCCGAAUUACUGAGGGUGGAAGGGCCACCCUUUGAUAUAUUUAUAAAUAUAUUUUGCUUGUUUGUGAAAUGCACCACAAAGUAGAAAGGAGGCUGAGAGCACGAGAGAACGUUGAACCACAGGGUCCUCAUUCAUUUUAUGUUGAAUGGAGCUUGGAAAAUGAAGAAGCGCCGCGCGUGAAGCGUCUUUGGGAGGGGACAACUUCACACUGGAGUCCAUGCAAAGUUUUGAUACUUUCUGACAAAACAAAAGCCCCACAAGUUGAAGCGUGAAGUCUAAUGACUACUAUGACCUCCUCUAUCUGAACCCAAGGGCCUUGUUGUACUUGGUCACUCCUGGUCCCAUCCAAGGGCUCUAUUGUCUGGGGCCAGAAGCUGGAAACCCUCCCCUGUCUCUGGCAUCCACGGCGGGACAAUGGGCAAAGACAAAUCUCUGACACCCCGUCCUCCAAGGGGACAGGGCUGCAUUAUUGCUGCCGAUGUUUCCUUUACUAUCUCCUCCCUUCUCACUAGUCUGUGUGUGUGUGUUUUCUUUUCAAUGAAAAACACAGAAGGAAAUACAGCGAGAGAGAGGAGAGGACAAAAGAUAGAGGGCCUCAAUGAUGAAGUGACCUGAAGAGGGGGGAGAUCAUUUCAAAUGGGAUUACACACACACACACGCACACAGGCCAACUUCAUUGUCUCUGACACUACUCAACCUACACAAUACAGAGCAGGAUAUUGCUGCACCAUGCAGUCCUUUCACUAUGUAGUCUCAAGCCUGCUGAG
ensembl:lncRNA